UCCAUUCUCCCAGGGGUUCUGGUAUUCUGUAAGAUAAUGUAGUGAUUCAUCCUUCUGUUUCCAGAAACUAGAGGGUAUGAGAAUAAAGGAAAUCAAUGAUACAUAUGAUGUAUAUUGCCACGUUGGAGAAGGUCAUUGAAAAGACACGAUUGACCUGCGAGCUGGACUCGGCUGGUUUCAGAUCCCAUCCAGAGAGCUCCAGAGAGGGCUGUGAACCAUCAUGCCAACAGAUACACAGAAACACACCAGAGGGAAUCAGCUGAAGAUCGCUGUAGUCCUGACUCCUGCCACAUCCUUCUCUGGUACCUCAUGCAACUCAACUAUCAUUUAAAGGCUUUUUGAAACACUC